rnacentral:lncRNA from 1 species
AUUUGAGAUCAAAUCAAAUUAACUUCUAAAGUCACAAAAUAAUCUUCAAAUAGAGCCUGUAUCCAUCAAAUGAUUUGUGAAUAAUAUAAUCAAACUUAUUAAUAUGUCCAUUCGGUUAUGACUUUAUCAAUAGUAAUGAUACAUAUACAAAACCAAGAGUGUACGAAAAUGGUAAAAAUAAUAAUAAUAAUAAGAUAAAUUAUUUAUUUUAAUUAGUUUAUAAUAUGUACACAGUUCUUUAUCCUAUUAGUUCGUGUUCCCGAUUUUGUUGUCUUUUUUUAUACAUCCAUCAAUUUUGUUUUGUCCACUAAAUGAAAAUGGCAACAACUAUUUUCUUUGAUCAUUAUGCUAUUUUCUUGAAUCAAAUUUUACUCGUUGGCAUAAUUCGAGAAUAACAAACAUAGGGAAAAAAUAAAAUAAAAUUAAACAACAACAUGUAUGUAGUACAUUUUUAUAUGGCGAAAGACCACAUUGCACAUCAUAAUAAAUAAUUAAAUAUAUUGUGUUUGCAGAUAUUUAUACCCAAAAAAAAACACCCCGAUCUUGUGGCACAAUUUUGAAACGACCGUGGCUGCAAAGCAGCCUCUAAUUAUUACGUUUCAACUUGCAAUUUAGAACCAUAAAAGCUGACGAUGUUGCAUGAGUAGCCACAAGAAAACAAGUUGAAGUCUCAAUCAUAUAUCAAAUUAGUACCAACUGAAAAUAGUUUAAUGGCAUUUUAUGGCCUUGGAACCCAGAUAUCAAUUUACUGGCUAGUCGUAUAUUUAUUUGUAAAGGAUUGGCCAGUAACCAAUCAAUCGAGUAGCUCUAUAUCUUUAUACUACUAUGUUUUUGAAAACGAAAUAUGAUGACAAUUAAUUUAUUCAUCCAAAUCCAAUGUUUGCAGCAAGACUGAAGAAAUUCAAUGGAAUAAUUAAUUAAUCAGUUAAUUAUUUGUCCACAGAUGCUGUUUGCUACAGGAAGCAUUUUCAGAAUCAAGUAAAACAAGCUAUUGGAAGCAUGUGUCUUUACGCUAUAUAUAUGAUGAGAGUAAUGUCCUAGUCGAUGGGUUUAAUAAAGCCCCGCCAAUUUAAGAAGCAAGAACUUGUUUAAUCACAGAGCCAACUAACGUGGUAGGUAAUAAGUCCAUCAAAAUAAAUCCAAAAUUGUGCUCGAUCGUCGUGUUCGUAUUGUCCAUCUUUUAAUUUGGGUAUUGNNNNNNNNNNNNNNNNNNNNNNNNNNNNNNNNNNNNNNNNNNNNNNNNNNNNNNNNNNNNNNNNNNNNNNNNNNNNNNNNNNNNNNNNNNNNNNNNNNNNCACCCGGUGCUGCCUUGUUAAUUUACUUAAUUAUUAUAAUAAACUCAUUUCACUACUAGUUGAGAGAUUUCAAAGUUCAAUUUGUUUUAGAUAUAUAUGUUCCAAGUUUUAAAUUAUAGAGUUUGAGUCAACUUCUUGGUUGAUGGUGGGAGGCGGGCAAAUUGAAAGCUAAUUAGUUCUGUAUUAGAAUCCCCAAAGAAAAAUAGAGAUGUCUCCUUAGUACAAGUUAUGCAUGAUUUCAAAUCUAGUGUCAAACAAAGCAUUAUCAUUUGAUUUUGCAGUGAAAAACAAUUGGAACCAAAGCCUAACAAAAGACUAACAAAUGAAAGGAUGUUAUUUUGGAUUUGUUUUUUUUUAUAAAAAAAAAAAGAUUAAACUUUCCCAAAACGAUGUUGUUUUAAGUGUGUUUUUGUUAGCCUUUUGUCAAUCUCUAGUUCAAAUAUCAGUGUCCUUAUGCAAUAAUCACUGUUUAAAUAUUAACGCAAUCUAGUUUAUAUCGUGACAAAAUAAUCUUUUUAUGAUGAAAUUUCAGUAGUAAAUAUCUUAUUUGUUGUUAGAAGAGAGACUAAAGACGACAUGUUGAAUUUUAAUGCCAUUGUUUAUCAUAAUAUAACAUUGUUAAGGCAGCUCAACACAUUGAGAAGAAGAAGAUCAAGUCUAAACAGAGUAGCAGUGCCACAUCAUUAGAGGUUGUUACCAAUAAUGACGGCUCGGUAUAAAUUUGUUAAGUUUGUUGUUAAAUGCACUUUGUAUUGAAUUUAAGAUUAGCUAGCCUAAGUUUAGUUAAUAAUGAUUAGUUACUUAUUAAUCAAUGAUCAAAAGUUGUUUAUAGAUGUCGAUGUAUUAAAGCACUCUGUUCAUUGAAUAAGAAUAAUAAAAUCUAGAUUUACUAAAUAUCCCCUGAAACUUUUCUUAAUAUCCAAACAAGUUGAACUCUUAUUUUCUUCGUGGUAUCAAAGCCUGAAAUGGCUAGCUCAAAUAGCAAAACCUUAAAUCCAUACACUAUAAAUACAAAUCAAACCUCAUAAAUUUCAUUUUCCUUUGUGCUCCUAUUAAGCGAGAUUAAUCCAAUUACUUAUCUGAAGAAAACAAGUUUUAACCUCCAUUAAAGGCAAUCGUCUUGAAGGUUUUAUAUCUAGGGUUCAAAUCGCACUGAAUUAGUUUUUCUCAUGCUCAGCAUCUAAUGAAUUAGUGUAGAAAAUUGAAAAUCCUACAUAUAUUAAUUGGAGAGUUUAAGGUCAGACUUUUCUUGGUUGGCUGCUAUCCUACGUUAAUGAACGUAGUGAAGGUAUUUAAUACAUAAUUAAAAAAAUUUCAAAUCUCCAUUUAGCUUUGUCUUUGUCUUAAAGGACUUGGGAACAUUUUCGAACAUUUUCUUACUCUCUUAGGAUAGAAAUUUUUUAUGAUAAGACAAAAAUUUUUUAUCACAGAUAAAGCACAUUAGAGAUUUGUUGACUAAGUUGGUAUCUUGUAAUAUAAAGGCACAUGUACUUUUAACUAGCUACAAAAAAAGGUACAAGGUGAUCAUGGUUGACACGACUCAAAAGUGUAUUAUUCUCAAUUAUAAGAGUGUCUAGUUAUAAUACAACCCGGUGAGACCAGGGUCGAACUACAUGAAGUUUUAAAUCUAGUAAAACUAAGAAAAUUAAUUACGGGGCAAAGAAAUUAUUUAAAAUUGAUUUAAAAAUAAGCUAAGGGUACGGGAUCCACUCUCAGUAUUCAAAUUAUAAUUUUAAUACUCUCUCAUUUUUAGCCUCAUUUUUUCCAGUUAAUUAUUAUAUCAUUUAAUUCUCAACUAAUUAUGUGUGUGGAUAAAUAUAAAAUAAAGUACCUAAUGUGCCACACUAUAUUAAUGUGUCGACAUUAUGUCAAAAUAUAAUACAGAUCCAAAGAAAUUUAUAAAUUAAUAUGACAUAAAAAUAACUAGAAAGAAUAAAAUAAACUUUAAACUCAUUUGAGAAAAUAAUAAAUUUAAUAGUUUGAAACAUUGAGCUUCACCCUUCACCUCAGCUUAAUAAAAUUAGCCACUCAUAUUGAAAGAAAAUACGACACUCUAUUUAUUUGAUAAACUUUUGAAAUACGUUACAAGAAAGUUGAUUACAAACGGAAACAAGAAAAAGAAAAGAAAGAAAGAAAUUCUUCAGCUGCACUCUAUUCUCUCUUGGCUUAAGCUCCUCAAAAAAUUAGCUCUCUGGCUUCUCAAUACUUUGGUUUUUAUAGGCAACAAU